GAUGAAGAACGUAGCGAAAUGCGAUACUUGGUGUGAAUUGCAGAAUCCCGUGAACCAUCGAGUCUUUGAACGCAAGUUGCGCCCGAAGCCAUCAGGUUGAGGGCACGUCUGCCUGGGCGUCACAUAUCGUUGCUCGAUGCCUAUCGCAUUGCGAUAGGACUUAGGGCGAAUGAUGGCUUCCCGUGAGCGUUGUUGCCUCGCGGUUGGUUGAAAAUCGAGUCCUUGGUAGGGUGUGCCAUGAUAGAUGGUGGUCGAGUUAGCACGAGACCGAUCUUGUGCAUGCUCCCCAAAAUAUGGCCUCUGUGACCCACACGCGUCUUUUGACGCUCAUGACGAGACCUCAGGUCAGGCGGGGCUACCCGCUGAAUUUAAGCAUAUCAAUAAGCGGAGGA
rnacentral:misc_RNA from 1 species